GACGAACGCUGGCGGCGUGCUUAACACAUGCCAGUCGAACGGAAAGGCCCUGCUUUUGUGGGGUGCUCGAGUGGCGAACGGGUGAGUAACACGUGAGUAACCUGCCCUUGACUUUGGGAUAACUUCAGGAAACUGGGGCUAAUACCGGAUAGGAGCUCCUGCUGCAUGGUGGGGGUUGGAAAGUUUCGGCGGUUGGGGAUGGACUCGCGGCUUAUCAGCUUGUUGGUGGGGUAGUGGCUUACCAAGGCUUUGACGGGUAGCCGGCCUGAGAGGGUGACCGGCCACAGUGGGACUGAGAUAGGGCCCAGAAUCCAACGGGAGGCAGCAGUGGGGAAUAUUGCACAAUGGGCGGAAGCCUGAUGCAGCAACGCCGCGUGCGGGAUGACGGCCUUCGGGUUGUAAACCGCUUUCGCCUGCGACGAAGCGUGAGUGACGGUAAUGGGUAAAGAAGCACCGGCUAACUACGUG
rnacentral:rRNA from 1 species